GAUGAACGCUGGCGGCGUGCCUAAUACAUGCAAGUCGAGCGAACAGACGAGGAGCUUGCUCCUCUGACGUUAGCGGCGGACGGGUGAGUAACACGUGGAUAACCUACCUUUAAGACUGGGAUAACUUCGGGAAACCGGAGCUAAUACCGGAUAAUAUAUUGAACCGCAUGGUUCAAUAGUGAAAGACGGUUUUGCUGUCACUUAUAGAUGGAUCCGCGCCGCAUUAGCCAGUUGGUAAGGUAACGGCUUACCAAGGCAACGAUGCGUAGCCGACCUGAGAGGGUGAUCGGCCACACUGGAACUGAGACACGGUCCAGACUCCUACGGGAGGCAGCAGUAGGGAAUCUUCCGCAAUGGGCGAAAGCCUGACGGAGCAACGCCGCGUGAGUGAUGAAGGUCUUCGGAUCGUAAAACUCUGUUAUUAGGGAAGAACAAAUGUGUAAGUAACUAUGCACGUCUUGACGGUACCUAAUCAGAAAGCCACGGCUAACUACGUG
rnacentral:rRNA from 1 species